GGGCCGGUAGCUCAGUGGUAGAGCAUUCGACUUUUAAUCGAAUGGUCCUGGGUUCGACCCCCAGCCGGCCUACCA
rnacentral:tRNA from 1 species